rnacentral:rRNA from 1 species
GACGAACGCUGGCGGCGUGCUUAACACAUGCAAGUCGAACGAUGAUCUGGCAGCUUGCUGCUGGGGAUUAGUGGCGAACGGGUGAGUAACACGUGAGUAACCUGCCCUGGACUCUGGGAUAACCCCGAGAAAUCGGAGCUAAUACCGGAUAGGACCCUGUACCGCAUGGUGUGGGGUGGAAAGUUUUUUCGGUCUGGGAUGGACUCGCGGCCUAUCAGCUUGUUGGUGUAGGUAAUGGCUCACCAAGGCGUCGACGGGUAGCCGGCCUGAGAGGGUGACCGUCCAAACUGGGACUGUGACACGGCCCAGACUCCUACGGGAGGCAGCAGUGGGGAAUAUUGCACAAUGGGCGCAAGCCUGAUGCAGCAACGCCGCGUGCGGCAUGACGGCCUUCGUGUUGUAAACCGCUUUUAGUAAGGAAGAAGGGGAGCUUGCUCCUUGACGGUACUUGCAGAAAAAGGACCGGCUAACUACGUGCCAGCCGCCGCAGUAAGAC